AUCAGCUAAAUAAGCUGUGAAUGAGACCACAAUGGUAGCUAAAUGUAUCAUCCAUCUUUCAGUUCUAGCAAAAUCUGUGAAGAGUCAGCAAGCAUCUUUCCCUGUUAAGCAUAUGUUCAGGUUGUGGUCUUCUGGGUCUUUCAUUCUACUGACUUUUUGCUUUUUUUGGUAAGAAAUAUGAUUUUUACUUUCAGAAGGCAGUUGUAUUUGCCUGAUGUUGAAAGAGUUAAUCAUCUAGUAAUACAAAAUUUAGUCACAAUGUACCACAAAUAAUGUACUUUUAGGAUUCCCAUAAUAACAGAGUACUAGUCAGAGAAACGGCUUCUCCUGAAUUAAAUUUAUGAAGCUAGACUUUAGCAAUUAAUGUUCUGUUAUUAAUCAAUACUUGCCUACCUCAGAAUGUAGGAUCCUGUUCUACAUUUAAUGGUAAUUACAUCUGAUACAA
rnacentral:lncRNA from 1 species